rnacentral:rRNA from 1 species
UUCUUGGAGAGUUUGAUCCUGGCUCAGGACGAACGCUGGCGGCGUGCCUAAUACAUGCAAGUCGAGCGGACUUGAUGGAGAGCUUGCUCUCCUGAUGGUUAGCGGCGGACGGGU